rnacentral:rRNA from 1 species
UUCGCAAUGCCCGAAAGGGUGACGAAGCGACGCCGCGUGUGGGAAGAAGGCCUUCGGGUUGUAAACCACUGUCGGGAGUUAAGAAGUACAAGGAUAUGAAUAGUGUCUUUGUUUGACUAAGGCUCCGGAGGAAGCCACGGCUAACUCUGUGCCAGCAGCCGCGGUAAUACAGAGGCGGCAAGCGUUGUUCGGAAUUAUUGGGCGUAAAGAGCACGUAGGCGGCUAUGUAAGUCGGUUGUGAAAGCCUUCCGCUCAACGGAAGAACAGCAUCCGAUACUACAUGGCUUGAGUGUGGGAGGGGAGAGUGGAACUUCUGGUGGAGCGGUGAAAUGCGUAGAUAUCAGAAGGAACGCCGGCGGCGAAAGCGGCUCUCUGGCCCAUAACUGACGCUGAGUGUGCGAAAGCUAGGGGAGCAAACGGGAUUAGACACCCCGGUAGUCCUAGCCGUAAACGAUGGGCACUAAGUAGAGGGGUUUU